rnacentral:rRNA from 1 species
CAAUAGCGUAUAUUAAAGUUGUUGCAGUUAAAAAGCUCGUAGUUGGAUUUCUGGUGGGAGCGAUCGGUCUGGCGCUUAGCGCGAGUACUUGCAUCGUCUCCGGCCAUCCUUGGGGAGAGUCUGUCUGGCAUUAGGUUGUCGGGCAGAGGAUCCUCAUCGUUUACUGUGAAAAAAUUAGAGGGUUCAAAGCAGGCUUAUGCCGUUGAAUAUAUUAGCAUGGAAUAAUAAGAUAGGACUUUGGUACUAUUUUGUUGGUUUGCGCACCAAAGUAAUGAUUAAUAGGGACAGUUGGGGGUAUUCGUAUUCCGUUGUCAGAGGUGAAAUUCUUGGAUUUACGGAAGACGAACUACUGCGAAAGCAUUUACCAAGGAUGUUUUCAUUAA